AUAGGUAGCUCAGAUGGAUGUA
rnacentral:siRNA from 1 species